CUACAUAACAUAUCCUCUACUCUCAGACAUGAUAGAGGUGAAUGGUUCACUACAUAACAUAUCCUCUACUCUCAGACAUGAUAGAGGUGAAUGGUUCACUACAUAACAUAUCCUCUACUCUCAGACAUGAUAGAGGUGAAUGGUUCACUACAUAACAUAUCCUCUACUCCCAGACAUAGAGGUGAAUGGUUCACUACAUAACAUAUCCUCUACUCUCAGACAUGAUAGAGGUGAAUGGUUCACUACAUAACAUAUCCUCUACUCUCAGACAUGAUAGAGGUGAAUGGUUCACUACAUAACAUAUCCUCUACUCUCAGACAUGAUAGAGGUGAAUGGUUCACUACAUAACAUAUCCUCUACUCUCAGACAUGAUAGAGGUGAAUGGUUCACUACAUAACAUAUCCUCUACUCCCAGACAUGAUAGAGGUGAAUGGUUCACUACAUAACAUAUCCUCUACUCCCAGACAUAGAGGUGAAUGGUUCACUACAUAACAUAUCCUCUACUCCCAGACAUAGAGGUGAAUGGUUCACUACAUAA